rnacentral:rRNA from 1 species
UGACGUUGGGAAAGCGAGCGGCGGAUGGGUGAGUAACACGUGGGGAACCUGCCCCUAAGUCUGGGAUACCAUUUGGAAACAGGUGCUAAUACCGGAUAAUAAAGCAGAUCGCAUGAUCAGCUUUUGAAAGGCGGCGUAAGCUGUCGCUAAGGGAUGGCCCCGCGGUGCAUUAGCUAGUUGGUAAGGUAACGGCUUACCAAGGCGACGAUGCAUAGCCGAGUUGAGAGACUGAUCGGCCACAUUGGGACUGAGACACGGCCCAAACUCCUACGGGAGGCAGCAGUAGGGAAUCUUCCACAAUGGACGCAAGUCUGAUGGAGCAACGCCGCGUGAGUGAAGAAGGUUUUCGGAUCGUAAAGCUCUGUUGUUGGUGAAGAAGGAUAGAGGUAGUAACUGGCCUUUAUUUGACGGUAAUCAACCAGAAAGUCACGGCUAACUACGUGCCAGCAGCCGCGGUAAUACGUAGGUGGCAAGCGUUGUCCGGAUUUAUUGGGCGUAAAGCGAGCGCAGGCGGAAAAAUAAGUCUAAUGUGAAAGCCCUCGGCUUAACCGAGGAACUGCAUCGGAAACUGUUUUUCUUGAGUGCAGAAGAGGAGAGUGGAACUCCAUGUGUAGCGGUGGAAUGCGUAGAUAUAUGGAAGAACACCAGUGGCGAAGGCGGCUCUCUGGUCUGCAACUGACGCUGAGGCUCGAAAGCAUGGGUAGCGAACAGGAUUUAGAUACCCUGGUAGUCCAUGCCGUAAACGAUGAGUGCUAAGUGUUGGGAGGUUUCCGCCUCUCAGUGCUGCAGCUAACGCAUUAAGCACUCCGCCUGGGGAGUACGACCGCAAGGUUGAAACUCAAAGGA